GCAGAGCAUAGAAGAUUAAUUUCAAAUAGAAAAAUUGAAGAUUCUAUUCCUUCCUUUGAAUUUCCGUACGACCUGACUAGGCGCGCUAACUUUAGAACCAUAAUGGGCCCUUCUAGAACGUGUUUACUGCCUACGAGAGUGCUAGGUGACGGUGUUACAUUCCCUCUACGUAAAGGAACAGAUCCAUAUGCUUUGACCAGAGAGCAUCUUGCACAGAAAAGGGUU